GGGUCUAUGAUGACAAACCUACGUCAUCAAUAGAGGUGAUGACAUAAAUAUUAUGCUCUGGUUCCAGCUGCUGAGGCCU
rfam:Mesocricetus auratus contig197613, whole genome shotgun sequence.